CCUACGGGAGGCAGCAGUAGGGAAUCUUCCACAAUGGGCGAAAGCCUGAUGGAGCAACGCCGCGUGGGUGAAGACGGUCUUAGGAUCGUAAAACUCUGUUGUUAGAGAAGAAAGUGCGUGAGAGUAACUGUUCACGUUUCGACGGUAUCUAACCAGAAAGCCACGGCUAACUACGUGCCAGCAGCCGCGGUAAUACGUAGGUGGCAAGCGUUAUCCGGAUUUAUUGGGCGUAAAGGGAACGCGGGCGGUCUUUUAAGUCUGAUGUGAAAGCCUUCGGCUUAACCGGAGUAGUGCAUUGGAAACUGGGAGACUUGAGUGCAGAAGAGGAGAGUGGAACUCGAUGUGUAGCGGUGAAAUGCGUAGAUAUAUGGAAGAACACCAGUGGCGAAGGCGGCUCUCUGGUCUGUAACUGACGCUGAGGUUCGAAAGCGUGGGUAGCAAACAGGAUUAGAUACCCGGGUAGUC
rnacentral:rRNA from 1 species